AUUUUUCAGCCUCUGGGCUAACAUCAAAUGUAAUACUUGGUUUUUAUCAGUUUAAUAUCUAACGUGUCCUCUAUCUAAGGAAAAUAUGUUGAAUUAGUCUUUAGAGAGAGAGACAGAAUGGGAGCUUGAUCUAUAAAGGCAGGCAUUGGCUUUAUAUUAUAAUACUUUUAGACAUUGCAUUUAAA